AUUACAACGAAUUAUAAUCAAUUACAUAUAUGAUUAGUUUUAGUUUAAUAGUUGUUUAGAGAAACUAUCCUAUUUUGUCCAGCAAACCAUUAAGUUUCUCAUAGCCUAUUAAAGAAAUUUCAUUCUCUGGCCAUGAGAAUAAAUUCUUAUUAUAGCAUCAAAGCGUAAAGCAGUGUUGCAGAAACGAACGUAGAAGUGACUUGGUUUUUCUGAAUGAGCAGCAGAACAAUCGAGCAUGAGUAUAGUGUAGUUAAUAUAUGAAAUUGAUAAUACAAAGGUUAUACAGCUAAAUAUACACAGAGAAUAUACAUAUAUACAAAAGCGAAAGUAAAGAAAGGGAAAGAGAGAAGACAAGUAGCAAAACGUACUAACAGUCCUUGAGAGCCAGCAAAGAAAUCAGUUUCAUUAGGUCGUAUUAGAUGUAUCACAUCUAAGAUAGAGAAACGGUACUUGCAUUAGUUUACGGGCUGAGUUUCUGUUCAGUGCUGCGGCAGUUCAUUGGCUUCUUCCGUUUCCGCAGGAACAUUUGAACUGAGGACUUGAAAUUCGUUUUGCCGGAGAUGGUCAUCCCAAAAGAUAAUCGUGUGAUGGAAGCGCGGUCGCCUGAGACUUCCGGGAGAGACGUGCAAUCAAGAGACAAAGCAAAAAUGUUUGUGCUUGUCUUUUAUGGACAAACAAGCCAACACGCCUCCUUGGUUGAAACAGCCAAUGGUAAGAAGUGCAAUCUUGGCGGGCAAACUUUUCCUUUGUCUUGUCUUGUGGCUCGAUUUGCAUAACUUAUGAAGUGUUGGAUCAGAGUACAUUUUUCUUUGAAGUACCAUUAAAAAUAGAACAAUGCAUUUUACAGUAAUGUGACAUACAUUGUCAAAUAAGGCAUAAAGAGAGCUUUACAAAGAAACCAAACUUGUCAGAUGGCAAAAACAUAAAAAGGGAGAUACAGUUUAUACUCUGAUUUUAUCGUUUAGAAUGACACUAACGCAACUACAGUCAUAACUAAGUUUAAACACUAGGGAUACAUACAUGCACUUGACAUACACAAUGGGUACACUUUGGCACAGUCAUAUUUUGAGAAUAACUGUACAUACAAUCUCUAAGCAUGUUUGUGUGUGUGUGUGUGGUGUGUGUAUUGGGUUUUGGCUGUUCUGGAAUGUAGCCACAUGAGGGAAGUCCCCAGAGCUGGGGACUGGGGUUCUCUGGUUAGUUUCUGAUAGGGCCACAAAGAUGCCAAAGUGCCCGUCUCUAUUCGUGAUUUACAUGCACAGUUCAGCAGGCUAAAAGCAUUCUAAAAAUUCCAAAGUUGGUUGGCGUUGCAACAGGCGUUACAUCUCUAAUCUCACUGGUGUGAUUGUACGCUCCAGGGACCAGCCAAGACUGAUCACACCGGUGUGAUCAUAGACAUCAAAGGGUUAAUACAGCAGUGGAGACGGCCAACGGCCAGACAGCUGCCAUGUCGUCGAGUGUCCAGAAUUUCAUGGACAGUGUAGAUGGUGAGAAAAUGGUUCCAGGAAUUCUGGUGACCAUGGCAAAAGGUCCUGUAUCUCCUCAAUCUCCUGUAUCUCCUCUCUGUUUGCCCAUUGGUCUGCAGGUGGUAUCCAGAGGAGAGGCUCACGGUCACACCUAGGAGAGAGAAGAAUCCCGUGGAGAAAAAUAAAUAUUGGGACUGUGAACGACACUCACCAUUGGCUGAGGAGGACAGAUGGGGCAUGAUGAAAUUACAUGUCCCUUGGCUCCACAGUAUAAAUAAAGAUCCUGAUGAAUCACCAUCAGGUUCUCCAAAAACUUCUCUGAAAUGGGUGAUGAAUGCAUCAAGAGUUUUUGUUAUAAUGGCUGGCCCAUUUUGAUGCCAAAUUGUUUCCGCCCAUUGGAGUGCUCGCCCUGACAGCAGAGAGAGGACAAAUGCUAUCUUGGCUCACUCAGCUGGAAAGUGAGCGGGUGCAUCUUCAGGGCCAAAAACAUUGAAGAAGAAAUCCACUGCAGUCCUCUGUCGAACCAGAAUAGGGUGCUGGAUUGCCUAUGGGCCUGGCAGUGCCCGUCGGUGAAGAAGUGGGUACCUAUGCAGCAAUGGGUGUGGUGGCGCUUGGCGUGGUAUGAAGAGAGAUCGAGACGGUUUGAUCUUGGAACGCACACACCUCAGUUACUGCAGGUAAAGGAAGUCCAGGUGAGUUGGUGAGUGAAUGGUGACAAAGCAGUUUGAAGAUGGGAAAAGAUGAUGGAACAGAGUACUUCAGACAUGGAAGAAUCAUGAGGAACGAUGGGGUUCAGAGUUGCUGGAGGUAAGUAUCACAGGUCGCACUAUCGCUGGUAGAAAGUCCUGAGUCCGUAGUGAGACCAGACAAUGAAUGUAGCUGAGGUGUAUGCUUGUAUGCAGUGGUUGAUUGAUGUGCAUAAACAGGUGCAGGUGAUUAACAUUCAGGAGAUGGUGAUCGCUGUGUUGGAGUGAAGGUUGAGCCUGGUGAAUCUGUGACAGUGUCCAGUAAUAUUAGCAAUUUGUAGAUGAAAAUUCAACCUUUUGAAAAGUCCAUAUGUUCUCUCUUCACAUAGUAUUUCAGUAGAAUUUCUGUUUCUGAUAUUCCAAAUUAAGAUGUAUUUUUAAUGUUUUCAUAACAUGUGAUGUCAUUUUUAAUUAAACUGCUGUGAGACUUGUUGAAAUAAUGUCAAGGGGAAGUGUUGAAGAAAACACCCAAGAUGUAAGAUCAUAUUUCUGCGGGGUUACAUACUUAAUGAAGUUAUUUUACCUCUUACUGAAUGUUUUUCAGGGUUUUUCCAAAUGAAAAUAUUCAUACACUUCAAGCCUGCUUUAGCCAAUAUCCUAUGGUGUUUUUGUAAACACGCUGCAUUUCAUAUUUGAUUUAUGCAUCCCACUUGGAGUUCAUUUCUUGCUUCAAAGGAAAAAGUUUUUUUUUUUUUUUUUUUUUUCUCUUAUGGGUGGUAAAUGCAAAUAUUAUACUUCUAUGUACAUAAUUCAACUCUAUGCUAUUAAGUCAAUAACAUGUCCAUCUUCAAUACCACACACAGUAUUAUAAAUGAAAAAUAAAACUUGAAUGUUGUCUGAAGGGGUGUCCUGCAAAACAUUAGGGUUGCUCACGUAGCUCUGGUUCCUUGAGAUAACGAGAACAAGCAUUGUGUCUGCUUUUAGUUGACGCUUAUGGGGAAAACUGUGUGACAACAGCUCAUUUGAAUCCUAUGCAAUUACUAUUACCAGUCCUAUUAAAAUCAAUUUUGUAGUUGUUUAUCAUCCUCCAGGUCAGCUUGAGUUGUUUGUGUUUCUCUUUCCUUUCUUGGAUGGUACUCCUCUGGUAGUUCUUGAAGACUUCAACAUCCCCUUAGAAAAGCUUCAGGCUGCUGACUUCCACACUCUGCUUGCCCCGUAUGACCUCAAACGAGUAUCUACUGCGGCUACUCACAAACCAGAACAACCUCCUGGACAACAACCAGUCUGGUUUCAAAAGCAGACACUCAACUGAGACCGCCCUGCUCUCGGUUUUUGAAGCUCUGAGACUGGCAGGACCACUCGAUUGAGGGCCCCAAGACCAGCUGCAUAAGGAGAGGCUCAGACCAAAGUUGGAGCCUGCUACACAGUCCAUAAGCGUCUCAGACUGCUUGAAGAGCAGGGAUGUCCAGGUUAUAAAAUCUGAUAAAAGUGGAUAGCGAGGGCCAAGUGGCCGUCGCACAUAUUUCCUUGAUGGAGACUCUGCUGGACCACGCCCAAGAGAUAUCUAUACCUCUAGAGGAGUGGGCCCUGACUCCCAGGGGGCAUGACAAGUCCACAGACUUGUAAGCUAGUGCUAUCACAUCCACAAUCCAUCUAGAUAGUCUUCGCUUCGAGACCAGUAGCCCUUUAGUGCGACCUCCAAAGCUAACAAACAGCUGUUCUGAUUGCUGAAACUGACUAGAGUGCUUGGUAUACACUCUCAAGGCCCUUAAGGGACAGAGUGGAUGGGGUGCCUGCUCGUUCUCCUUGAGUUGCAGAGCUAACAGCACUAACAGAGCCAUCACCUGUGUUCUGAAUGGAGUAGAAAGAACUUUUGGCAAGUAACCUUUUCUCGGCCUAAGGACUACUUUACUGUCGUUGGGGCUGAAUUCAAGACAGGACAGGAGAGAGCUGGAGAUAGUGGAUGAGCUGAAUCUUCUAGGCAGGAAGUGCCGCAUAGCCUGCAACGACAUCUGUGCUGCGAUGUAGCACUCUGCAAGGCCGUCUACCAUUGAGCCGAACAGGCCUGACAUGAAGACGUGUGCUCGCUUCUGCCUCGCUUUCGCCUUGGCUCGAGAGGGGAAGGAGAUGAGGGAGCGGGCAGGUUACUGAAGAGCGUGAUCCGGGUGUGCAGCAUUGCGAGGCUCAGCCUCUCAUACUGUGGAAAGCUGGAAUCCAAAAAAGCCAUCUAAGCAUGGACAUGGCCCAAGUAUGAGACACACUCUAGCGCGGGUAGGGAAGCCCUGCACAUUUGCAACAACCUCACUGGAAAUUUUCUCUUAAAUUUGCUGUUUUAGUAGUCACCGGAUGGCCGCAGGGGAAUUUGCUGGAUCGGCUUGCUUGCUGAAGCAUCAUCAUUCCGCUGAGAGGCUCAUUUAGCAACCUAUCUCACACUGAAUGCUCAUUGCUACUCUAUUAUUUUCUCUUUAAAGUCGAGAUGAAACACAUGUAGUGACAGAUCUGUCUUUAACUCCCUGAGGUCCGAAAACGCGCCGGCGCGUUUUGCAGGAUUUUUUUCACAUUGCAGCAAAACAGA